rnacentral:rRNA from 1 species
AUUGAACGCUGGCGGCAUGCUUUACACAUGCAAGUCGAACGGUAACAGGCCGCAAGGUGCUGACGAGUGGCGAACGGGUGAGUAAUGCAUCGGAACGUGCCCAGUCGCGGGGGAUAACGCAGCGAAAGCUGUGCUAAUACCGCAUACGAUCUGUGGAUGAAAGCGGGGGACCUUCGGGCCUCGCGCGAUUGGAGCGGCCGAUGUCAGAUUAGGUAGUUGGUGGGGUAAAGGCUCACCAAGCCGACGAUCUGUAGCUGGUCUGAGAGGACGACCAGCCACACUGGGGCUGAGACACGGCCCAGACUCCUGCGGGAGGCAGCAGUGGGGAAUUUUGGACAAUGGGCGCAAGCCUGAUCCAGCAAUGCCGCGUGCAGGAAGAAGGCCUUCGGGUUGUAAACUGCUUUUGUACGGAGCGAAAAGGCUCCCUCUAAUACAGGGGCUCAUGACGGUACCGUAAGAAUAAGCACCGGCUAACUACGUGCCAGCCGCCGCGGUAAGAC